GAAAUAUUUCUGUUAACCAGCACAAGUACAGAGUCAGCUAAGGAGGACUCCCAGAGGAUGAACCCAUGGAUUCUGUGCAGAAGGGAAUCACCAACAUGAGGAUUAAAGGAACCUGAUGCAAGUAAAUAAUAUGAGAAACCCUGGUUUUUGUUAAUUUCAACAAAGCAGUCUCUUGGUGAACUGAGGAUGAAGAUUUAGAGCUGAAGGCUUCAAUCUUACAUCAAGCACUUAUAAAUAUGCAGCGUGCCACAAAGACUGGAACUGCAGCGAGGAGGUGAUAAAAUGUAUUUUGCACUGUUUUGUCCUCGUGUUAUUGCACCUUGCUCAGCAGAUAAUUUAUUAUGCUAGCUCUUAGUAAAUAAUUGAUGGAGAACUGAUAACACAAAAUUUACGGAAUCUGGAGAGUGUUUUAUUAGAACAUUAAUAUGCUGCAGGUGUGUUUUAUUGGUCAAUUAACACACGCCUCGAGGUGUGGGGUGAUAGAUGAGGCUGCUGUGGGAGCUUUGGAUGAGCAGGGUGGUAAAACACAUCCUGGAGGGGCUUAAUGGUGCUGGAAAGUGAGGAAAGAUUGGACAGAAAUUGCGCUGUGGUUUGGAGGUGCAGGCUAACUUUAAACAAGGAAGCAGGAGCUCUGGAAAGAGGCUAACAAUAGCAGCUUUUAUAGCAGAGGAUCAGUAGCUCCAGGCUCCCUUUUUUGAGCAGAGUGGCUGCGAGGGAAGAUGGAAAAGCGUUCCGCUCGAUGUCUGCGCGCUCCGGGGUGAAACUCCCGUAACUACACGCAAAGGGCAGAGGGCUCUGAGAGCAGAGGGCUGUCAGCAACAGCUCAGUCCAAGAGUCCAGCUGACCCUGGAGAAAUCAGCAGACACAACAGGCAGCAGCAAAUGUUUGCAGGAAAAGUGUUAGAGCAGAGCAAACAGACAGAGAUUUCUCUAGACUGCAAACUUCUCGGAGACGUGCAUGGUGUGAACUGCAUCUUAAUGGCUGGAGUGCCUGAUGGAGAGAUUCCCUUCCAUUCUUAAUUGGGAGGGAGCUGGAGCUGUGUCAUCCGGCUCCACAAAGAUCUGCUGCUUCAGACCUGCAGUUGUGUAGCAUCUCUGGGCAAAAUAAGAUGAUUUAUGACAAGGAAAGUUGGCUUUAGAGUGGAUAUUUACAAUAGGAUCUAUAAAUAUUCCCACACUUUUGACAGAUGUUAAGUUUUUCUAUUUUUGCUUCAUUUACUAUUUUAUCUCACAUCUCUCUACCCUCUUUAGCCUGCAAUAAUUUUUUUCUACCAAUCAAUGAAUGAUAAAUAGCAAGUUCAGCCCGUGGUG
rnacentral:lncRNA from 1 species